rnacentral:lncRNA from 1 species
GUUCAUUCUCUCUCCUUUUAAUUUUUCUACCACAUCAUCAGAUUAGCUAAUGUGUCACUGUAUUUAAUGCGCAUGAAACUCCUAUGAAACUACCACUGGGAAUAGCCUUAGAAUCUUGAUAUAUUGUAAUGUCUACAUUCUCUAUAAAUUUUGACACUGAUUCGAGUGAUACUGUGUGGGUUGAUCAAUAGAAAUAAUAUUAUUGGAUUUAUUGUGAAAAUGAUGAAAUAUGUUAAUCUAAUUAUAUACUUUUAUGACCAAGUUCAAAUAGGAUGUACUGUACAUUUAUAGAGGAGCAGUGAUCAUUGUUACUACCAUAACUACUAACUUUUUAUGAAACAUAAUAUAGAUGCAAACACUUAUAGUAUAUAUAUGCACACACACUCACCCAUCACAUUAUUACAAACACCUUACUGUUGAAAGGCACGUCACCUAC